rnacentral:rRNA from 1 species
UUGACCUCGAAUCAGGUAGGACUACCCGCUGAACUUAAGCAUAUCAAUAAGCGGAGGAAAAGAAACCAACAGGGAUUGCCCUAGUAACGGCGAGUGAAGCGGCAACAGCUCAAAUUUGAAAUCUGGCCCUCGGGUCCGAGUUGUAAUUUGUAGAGGAUGCUUUUGGUGCGGUGCCUUCCGAGUUCCCUGGAACGGGACGCCAUAGAGGGUGAGAGCCCCGUCUGGUUGGACACCAAUCCUCUGUAAAGCUCCUUC